UACUCUGAAAUAAACAGUAUUGUAUUUUUCAAUCACGGUGCGCCUUGCUACUACUUAUUAGUUAACAUUACAGACUAGAAGUCCGGAUCAGCGAUAAAUAAAAGGCGUGGCAUUAAGCGAUGGCGGCACUACUAGGUUUUUCUCUGGGACUUCUUGCUUGGGGUGCUCCUGCUGGUUCCCGAGCCCCCACGCCUGCUGUCCCGUGGGGGAGUGGCGGAAAGGGCACUGGACACCCUGAUCUGCAAUCCCAGGUCCACCAUCUUUACACGGGGGGACUGCUGCCCGGAAGUCCUGGGACCACCACUGAAGAGAGACACAGGCGCACACACGCACCACAGACGUAACAUGGACUGAGCAGCAUGGAAAUUACUUUCACGCCUACUGAGAUGUGGCGCUACCAGCAGAGCUUAUGAGACUGGGUGGUUUGGACACCCGUGGCGGAGGAGAGUCAGCCCUGAUGCUGUUGCUGCAUGAAGACCUAGCAGACCUGACGCACACAAACACAAAGAUGUCACAGAGGUCCAAGAUGCAGGAGAUAUUUUCCUCCUUAUAUCAAAUGUAUACAAAUUUGAGGCUUUUCAUAUUUAUUUUUAAUUAAACUAAAGGACUAAUUU